rnacentral:tRNA from 1 species
GGGUCACUAGCUUAGUUAGUAGUGCACUGGACUUUUAAUCCAAGUACCUCGGCCUCGAGUCCGGAGUGACUCG